rnacentral:tRNA from 11 species
AAUCCGUCGACUUUAGAAAUCGUGAGGGUUCAAGUCCCUCUAUC